rnacentral:rRNA from 1 species
ACGCUCGACACCUACGGGAGCAGCAGUCGGGAAUAUUGCGCAAUGGAGGAAACUCUGACGCAGUGACGCCGCGUAUAGGAAGAAGGUUUUCGGAUUGUAAACUAUUGUCGUUAGGGAAGAAAAAGGACAGUACCUAAGGAGGAAGCUCCGGCUAACUACGUGCCAACAGCCGCGGUAAUCUGAGCGGGCUGGCAAGGC